rnacentral:rRNA from 1 species
CGGGGUGCACCAGGCGCGAAACCUUUGCAAUACACGAAAGUGUGACAGGGUCAUCCCGAGUGCCGACCGCUGAGGUUGGCUUUUACCCAGUCUAGAAAGCUGGGGGAAUAAGGAGAGGGCAAGUCUGGUGUCAGCCGCCGCGGUAAUACCAGCUCUCCGAGUGGUGUGGACGUUUAUUGGGCCUAAAGCAUCCGUAGCUGGCUGAACAAGUCCCCUGUUAAACCCACCGAUUUAAUCGUUGGCUUGCGGGGGAUACUGCUCGGCUAGGGGACGAGAGAGGCAGACGGUAUUCCCGGGGUAGGGGUGAAAUCCUAUAAUCCCGAGAAGACCACCAGUGGCGAAGGCUGUCUGCUAGAACGCGCCCGACGGUGAGGGAUGAAAGCUGGGGGAGCGAACCGGAUUAGAUACCCGGGUAGUCCCAGCUGUAAACGAUGCAGACUAGGUGUUUGGACGGCCACGUGCCGUUCUAGUGCCGCAGGGAAGCUGUUAAGUCUGCCGCCUGGGGAGUACGAUCGCAAGAUUGAAACUUAAAGGAAUUGGCGGGGGAGCAC